GAUGAACGCUGGCGGCGUGCUUAACACAUGCAAGUCGAACGGAAAGGCUCCUGCUUGCAGGGGUACUCGAGUGGCGAACGGGUGAGUAACACGUGGGUGAUCUGCCCUGCACUUCGGGAUAAGCCUGGGAAACUGGGUCUAAUACCGGAUAGGACGAUGGUUUGGAUGCCAUUGUGGAAAGUUUUUCGGUGUGGGCUGAGCUCGCGGCCUAUCCGCUUGUUUGUGGGGUAUUGGCCUACCAAGACGUCGACGGGUAGCCGGCCUGAGACGGUGUCCGGCCAUAUUGGGACUAAGAUACGGCCCAGACCCCUACGGGAUGCAGCAGUGGGGAAUAUUGCACAACGGGCGCAAGCCUGAUGCAGCGACGCCGCGUGGGGGAUGACGGCCGUCGGGUUGUAAACUCCUUUCGCUAGAGACGAAGCGCAAGUGACGGUACCUGGAGAAGAAGCACCGGCUAACUACGUG
rnacentral:rRNA from 1 species